rnacentral:rRNA from 1 species
ACUCCUACGGGAGGCAGCAGUGGGGAAUUUUGCACAAUGGGGGAAACCCUGAUGCAGCAACGCCGCGUGGAGGAUGAAGUCCCUUGGGAUGUAAACUCCUUUCGACCGGGACGAUUAUGACGGUACCGGUGGAAGAGGCCCCGGCUAACUCUGUGCCAGCAGCCGCGGUAAUACAGAGGGGGCAAGCGUUGUUCGGAAUUAUUGGGCGUAAAGGGUGCGUAGGCGGUGCGGUAAGUCUUCUGUGAAAUCUCCGGGCUCAACUCGGAGCCUGCAGGAGAAACUGCCGUGCUUGAGUAUGGGAGAGGUGAGUGGAAUUCCUGGUGUAGCGGUGAAAUGCGUAGAUAUCAGGAGGAACACCUGUGGCGAAAGCGGCUCACUGGACCAUAACUGACGCUGAGGCACGAAAGCUAGGGGAGCAAACAGGAUUAGAUACCCUGGUAG